GAUGAACACUGGCGGCGUGCCUAAUACAUGCAAGUCGAGCGAACAGACGAGGAGCUUGCUCCUCUGACGUUAGCGGCGGACGGGUGAGUAACACGUGGAUAACCUACCUAUAAGACUGGGAUAACUUCGGGAAACCGGAGCUAAUACCGGAUAAUAUAUUGAACCGCAUGGUUCAAUAGUGAAAGACGGUUUUGCUGUCACUUAUAGAUGGAUCCGCGCCGCAUUAGCUAGUAGGUAAGGUAACGGCUUACCAAGGCAACGAUGCGUAGCCGACCUGAGAGGGUGAUCGGCCACACUGGAACUGAGACACGGUCCAGACUCCUACGGGAGGCAGCAGUAGGGAAUCUUCCGCAAUGGGCGAAAGCCUGACGGAGCAACGCCGCGUGAGUGAUGAAGGUCUUCGGAUCGUAAAACUCUGUUAUUAGGGAAGAACAAAUGUGUAAGUAACUAUGCACGUCUUGACGGUACCUAAUCAGAAAGCCACGGCUAACUACGUG
rnacentral:rRNA from 1 species